rfam:Methylibium petroleiphilum PM1, complete genome.
CCGCGGCAGCGCAACCGGCGAUACGGCCCCCGAGGCCCGAGGUGGAUCUCCACCAGGAAGCGCUGCCGGAAGUUCUGCCUGCUGCAGACCCGUUCCGCCGCGCGCCUGGGCAGCCCCC